rnacentral:rRNA from 1 species
AUUGAACGCUGGCGGCAUGCCUUACACAUGCAAGUCGAACGGCAUCGCGGGAACGCUUGCUUUUCUGGCGGCGAGUGGCGGGCGGGUGAGUAACACAUCGGAACGUACCGGCUUGUGGGGGAUAACCCGUCGCAAGACGGGCUAAUACCGCAUACGCUCUUCGGAGGAAAGCAGGGGACCUCUGUGCCUUGCGCUGGUCGAGCGGCCGCUGUCCGAUUAGCUAGUGGGUGGGGUAAAGGCCUACCAAGGCGACGAUCGGUAGCGGGUCUGAGAGGACGAUCCGCCACACUAGGACUGAGACCCGGCCCAGACUCCUACGGGAGGCAGCAGUGGGGAAUCUUGGACAAUGGGGGCAACCCUGAUCCAGCAAUGCCGCGUGGGUGAAGAAGGCCUUCGGGUUGUAAAGCCCUUUCGGCAGGGAAGAAAUCGGCGGGGCGAAUAACCCUGCUGGAUGACGGUACCUGCAGAAGAAGCACCGGCUAACUACGUG